GACCUGUGGCUGGGGGUGAAAGGCCAAUCAAACCGGGAGAUAGCUGGUUCUCCCCGAAAGCUAUUUAGGUAGCGCCUCGUGAACUCAUCUCCGGGGGUAGAGCACUGUUUCGGCUAGGGGGCCAUCCCGGCUUACCAACCCGAUGCAAACUGCGAAUACCGGAGAAUGUUAUCACGGGAGACACACGGCGGGUGCUAACGUCCGUCGUGAA
rnacentral:rRNA from 1 species